rnacentral:SRP_RNA from 1 species
CACCCGGGAAAGUCUUACACGACCAGCUCCCUCUGAAUCCCCCAGGACAGGAAUGUAGCAAGGGUAAGAGGUUGUAGCGGUGCGAUGUAAGGGGCUUUCCCU